AGGACGAACGCUGGCGGCGUGCCUAAUACAUGCAAGUCGAACGCGCUCCAUUCGGUAGCAAUACUGAUGAAGAGCGAGUGGCGAACGGGUGAGUAGCACGUGAGCAACCUGCCCCGAAGACUGGGACAACACCGGGAAACCGGUGCUAAUACCGGAUAUCCCUAUCGGACCGCAUGAUCCGAUAAGGAAAUGUUUUUCGCUUCGGGAGGGGCUCGCGGCCUAUCAGCUAGUUGGUGAGGUAACGGCUCACCAAGGCGUCGACGGGUAGCUGGUCUGAGAGGACGAUCAGCCACACUGGGACUGAGACACGGCCCAGACUCCUACGGGAGGCAGCAGUAGGGAAUCUUGCGCAAUGGGCGAAAGCCUGACGCAGCAACGCCGCGUGGAGGACGAAGGCUUUCUGAGUUGUAAACUCCUUUCAGCAGGGACGAUAGUGACGGUACCUGCAGAAGAGCACCGGCAACUACGUGCCAGCAGCCG
rnacentral:rRNA from 1 species